GAAAGGAAUGGUUCAAGGAGGCAACAGGGGGCGGCGGGGGGCUUGGGCCCUCAUCGCCCUGGCAAUGCCUCAGGCCCAGCCCUCAUCCCCAGUUCCGUCAGCGCUCUCUCAUGCCUUCAGAGAAACCAGGGCUGGGAUGGGCCACACAGCAAACCACCCCUCCCCCACUUCCCAUGCAGCUACUUGGCCCCCAGACCUUGUCCUCCCAUCAUUCUCCUCAUACUCCUUUUCGGUGACCCCCUCAUGUAGAAAGGGUUUGGCUGCAAUGCGAAGGAUCGCUCUGCAGGAUCUUUGGGGCCCCAUCUCCAGGCGAUUCCUGUGUGGCAGGUGUCUGAGGGGGCUCAGGAGCCUGGAGGUUUGGGAUCAUGAAGAGCCUCGGAUAAUGGGGUUCAGUCCUGCCACCAUGUUCACGGCUGGAAGGAAGUCCUGUAAUUGAAAAGUGAGCCUUACCUCUGAUCUCCUAGGAAGACCUGGGGACUGGAUUUCUUUGUGGGACAGUCCCCCCCCCUCCCCCGUGGUUUCACAAUUCCUAUGUCAUCCUCAGUGAGCACUUUUGGCCUCUCUUUUGGGAGGACCAGGGCGGCGAGAGCUCUCAGCCUCUGCUGUCCCAGCCUGGGAAUGCCUGGGUGGGUGAGGACUCUCCUCUGCCAUUGAACUCAACCUCGGCUGUCAUCUGCCUGGCUGUCAGCACUGACCUGGGCAUCCUGCCUCUUGGUCCAGCCAGGUCCCUCACAGAGAGGGUCCACACAGAUACCAGUCAUGCACCCUCCUGGGGGCAGAGCCUUUGGAAGUCACCAUUGUAAGUUCCACCCUGUUCUCCAAAAUUUUGUAGAAGGGUUUGUCCUAAGUUUCUACAGUGGCUCCCUUGCCCCUUCCAGCCCCAGCUUCUCAAUUGCUGAAGUCUUGGCAAAUAUUUGGGAACCAUACACACACACACCAAAGAAACGGCUUUCAAUGGCAGUCCUGGGACCUCCCCUGGGUCUAGAACCCCUGGCUGAGGGACCUGUGGUACUGGGCCAAAGUCCUGGGCUUAAGCCAAGAGGACUGGAUUGACUACCACUUCCUGCCUUGGGCAAGUUCUUUCAUUUUCCCCCUGAGCCUCUGUUUCUCCAUAUGUAAAAUGGGGCGAAUGCCAACUUAGUUUAUGUGAGGCCCCCAAGCAGCAGAGGCCAGGAAAUGUCCUCCCUUCCGUCCUCUCCCACCAUGGGGAUCCUAGGUGCUGUUUAGGUGGGCUCCAAGGGAGAGCUGUUCCUGAUCUGUCACCAUCCUUCCUGGCUGAUUCUCUGGCUUCCUGUCAAUAAAAAUAGCAACUGCUUGUGGGGAGUCUGGGAU
rnacentral:lncRNA from 1 species